AAGCAGAACUGGCGAUGUGGGAUGAACCAAACGUGGAGUUAAGGUGCCAAAGUGCCCGCUCAUUAGACCCCAUAAAAAGGUGUUGGUUGAUAUAGACAGCAGGACGGUGGCCAUGGAAGUCGGAAUCCGCUAAGGAGUGUGUAACAACUCACCUGCCGAAUCAACUAGCCCUGAAAAUGGAUGGCGCUGGAGCGGGCCACCUAUACUCUGCCGUCUAUUGGCUUGUACGCCACUGCUGUGGACAGUCUGGCCAGUGACGUGUAGGGUAGGGUCGUGGUGGUUGCGUUGAAGGUCGUUGGGCGUGGACGUAAUAACUUCGUAUA
rfam:Globodera pallida, Lindley, WGS project CBXT01000000 data, contig: pathogens_Gpal_scaffold_472_contig_3